CCUACGGGAGGCAGCAGUGGGGAAUAUUGGGCAAUGGGCGCAAGCCUGACGCAGCAACGCCGCGUGGAGGAAGAAGGCUCUCGGGUUGUAAACUUCUUUUAUCAAGGACGAUACAGAUGACGUUUCUUGAUUAAUCAGCCACUGCUAACUUCGUGCCAGCCGCCGCGGUAAUACGGAGGUAGCAAGCGUUAUCCGGAUUUACUGGGUGUAAAGGGCGUGGAGGCGGGACUGCAAGUCAGAUGUGAAAUCCAUGGGCUCAACCCAUGACCUGCAUUUGAAACUGUUGUUCUUGAGUGUUGGAGAGGUAGGCGGAAUUCCGGGUGUAGGGAUGAAAUGCGUAGAGAUACGGAGGAAGACUAGUGGCGAAGGCGGCCUGCUGGAAAAUAACUGACGCUGAGGCGCGAAAGCGUGGGGAGCAAACAGGAUUAGAUACCCGAGUAGUC
rnacentral:rRNA from 1 species